AAUACAAGCACGCAAGGGUUUGGUGUCGUUGAAGUAAAUCCUUUUAUAUCUUUGUUGGCUAAGUUUCUUAUUUGGGAUCGUCAAUCGACUGAUGAGAUGAGGCGGGAAAAAAAACUCAUUACAGGGGAAGAGAGAUAGACACAUCCUUUUCCACCAGCAGGGUUUCUUCUAUAAUUACCCUACUGAGAACAAAAAAUACUCAUUAAUUCAAAAUACUAAUGAGUCUUGAAAGAAGCUUCUUCGAUUUAUCCUCGCUUGUCUUCUCUUUUUCUCUUUUGAUCUUCCGAUCCCUCUUCUUCAGCUUGACCAGAUGUUUGUGGUGGGUGUUCUUUAUUUCGUGCAUCGCUACUCCGGGAGUAUCACCACAAAAGAUGACUUCCGAUGGUGAUAUCGUCGAAUGCAUGGAUAAAAGAAGACAGCCAUCAUUUGUAUUUAGUAAUUUAGAGAUAUCAUAAAGACUGAGUCAUAGACUGUUUAUAUAACACAUUGUUUUGUGUC